GUGGGGAAUAUUGGGCAAUGGGCGCAAGCCUGACCCAGCAACGCCGCGUGAAGGAAGAAGGCUUUCGGGUUGUAAACUUCUUUUACCAGGGAAAAACACAAUGAUGGUACCUGGAGAAAAAGCUACGGCUAACUACGUGCCAGCAGCCGCGGUAAUACGUAGGUGGCAAGCGUUGUCCGGAAUUACUGGGUGUAAAGGGCGUGUAGGCGGAACUACAAGUCAGGGGUGAAAACUAUGGGCUUAACCCAUAGCCUGCCUUUGAAACUGUAGUCCUUGAGUGCUGGAGAGGCAAUUGGAAUUCCUAGUGUAGCGGUGAAAUGCGUAGGUAUUAGGAGGAACACCAGUGGCGAAGGCGAAUUGCUGGACAGUAACUGACGCUGAGGCGCGAAAGCGUGGGGAGCAAACAGGAUUAGAUACCCCGGUAGUCC
rnacentral:rRNA from 1 species